rnacentral:lncRNA from 1 species
CUGAAAAGCAAGGGUAAGAGGGGACAUCCUUGCCUUUGUUCCUGAUCUUAACAGGAAAGCUACUAUUUUCUCACCAGCAGGGGUUUUGAAGCAGUAGAAGAAACCUAAGACUUCAACCCUAAGUUACUCUGGGCUGGACCAAGGCUUUUUUGCAUACUCAGAGACCAGUAGAGCUCUGGCUCAUUGAAACAAACUUGGGCAGUCUUCACAGUGCUAGCGCUUGUGCAGAACAGGAUGUUGAAGACGCCCCAUCGUGGUGUUUUAUUUUGAUGGACAGAGGAAGAAAGGACUAGGAAAUGUGUCCUCAUCUGACAGCAGCAUAACCCAUAGACUGAUGAAAGUUCCUGCAGUCCUUCCUUCAUGACUUUCCUGAUGGAAUCUGAGCCCACUGCAAUCCAAAACUCUUUUAUUCAUUUUUUGUUUUAUAUGCUGGUAUAUAGCAGAGUGGCUGUCCUGUAGUAAGUACUUGCUAAUGAAUGCGUGAAUGAAUGAUAAGAUAAGGCAUAAAUUCACUCAAAAAUUCUAGACCUUUUCUUGCAUUGUGCUCCAAAACACAUUAAACAUGUACCAAUACAGAGAACUGCUUCAAAGAUACUAUGGCCUGUGAGUGUCUGCCACAAGCUAGCCACAUGACAAUGGCCAAGUCAUUUUACCUAUCAAAUCCUUAGUUUACUCAUCUAAUGAGAGAAUGGGACAAAAAGACUGAAAGCUCCAAAGAGGUUGGUCACAGUCUCACACUCCAGUUUGGAUUUGCAUGUGGAGGGAUUUUACUUACCAUAUCCCUUGCUCAUAAUCUGUAGCUCUUAUUUUUCAAGCAUCUCCCAGCACUGAUUUAAAAAAUUUGAUUUUUCUUCUUGAGGCAUUUAGUGAAAAGCACUGUGUUCCUUCCUAAUUUAUAACAAAACACUUGAGGAGAGAGUCUUGCCUUACAGUACAUGAGUUAUGAGGCCAGUGUUCAGCCUGCUAUUCCUUCCUUAGCUGAAUUCCAUUUUCUCCUUUCAAAGCUGCAGUAUUUCUUCUUUCUUGUAUGUCAAAUUAAUCUUUGUUCUUAAAAUUAUGACCACCAAGAGGAAACUUAACUUGUUGUGGUAAAGAAUUUGCUGGACUAAACAAAGCAUAUGUUUUACUUGACAUUCUAUUCUGCUGCAACAGAACAGCAAAUUGUCAUCUCCACUUUAGGGACCUGUCAUUGAAAGUAGCAGUGCUGAUUCUCAUUUUACAAAGAAGAGUUCUGGCUAACUAGACGGUCUUACUUAUGAAGGGUUGUCAUAUAUAACAAAUAUGGCAAAAUAUGACAGUAUAUUUGAAUUAUAUUAUAAUUAUAAUUAUAAUCUGUGCAUACUGAAAUUUUUAAAAACUACAUUAUGGAGCACAAAGAAAACUAGCUAGUGGUUUGGCUUUUGUUAAACCUUAUUUAACAUAUUCCUAUUUGAAAGCUUUGCCACUACCUAUCUUUUUCUUGUUGCUUUAGAAUUUUGCUAUACUCAUUUUCCCCUAGAAGAUUCCAAAGAUAUUGAGUACAUCUUAUCUGGGGAAGAGUUUGAUUGCUUUUGUUUUUUUCAAUCCUAUAAGUGAAUUCAUCUUACUGCAAAGUUGUAAAUGACAGUGCUGUGCUGUAGUUUGGAUGUUUGGCUCCCAAACCUCAUGUUGAUAUGUGAUCCCCAGUGUUGGAGGUGGGGCCUGGCGGGAGGUGUUUGGGUCAUGGGGGAAGGCUCCUCACUAAUGGCUUUGUGCUGUCCUCGCAGUAAUGACUGAGUUCUCACUUUACUGGUUCCCAUGAGAUCCAAUUGUUAAAAAGAGCCUGGCACCUCCCUCCCCUCCCUUGCUUCCUCCUUCAUCAUUUGAGCUCAGCACAACGGCUCUCCUUCACUUUCCACCAUGAGUGGAAGCAGCCUGAGGCCUCACCAGAAGCAGAGGCUGAUGCCAUGCUUCCUGUACAGCCUACAGAACUGUGAACCAAAUACACUUCAUUUUGUUAAAAUAAAUUACUCAACCUCAGGCAUUCCUUUAUAGCAAUGUAAAUGGACUGAGAUAGACAGUGAGAUAUCAAAAAGAAAAAAGGCAAGUUUUCCUUUGACGUCCCACUCCACCCAUGGUCUUUCCCAUAGUCAACACUUUGAUGUGCAAAGUUUUGAUAUAUUCUUUAAUUUACAUUAAAUAUGUAUGCACUCCUAAUUUGUUUUUGUUUUCUCUUUCUAACUAUAUGGUUCACCCUACGCUUAUUUUCUGCAACUUAUGUUUUUCAUGUCAAUAUUUC